UUACAUGACUGACUGUGCAGUGCUAU
rnacentral:piRNA from 1 species